UUAGCUAAUUAAUUGUAGACGUUAUUUUGAACACAAUAUAUUUUUCAACUGUUGAGAAAAAUAAGGCAAUAUUUCAUUUGAUACAUAAUUAAAACUUAUAGUAGGUAAACACUUCAUGACGUGUUAGAGACUUAUACAAUGGCAGAAUUCAGAUCAUUCGGACGAGUGUUUCUAUUAGUAAUAGGCUGUUACUUUUUAAUAGAGGCAACGGAAAGUUUCACUACUGGAGCAACAGAUUACGAUAACGAUUCCCAGAAGGGAGGUUUAUCUGAAACUUCAACUUCCACUUCUAGUUCCAAGGAUAAGGGCUUAUCUGGCGGUGAAACUGCUGGUGUCGUCAUUGGAAUCCUCGUCUUGUGUGCAGCCAUAGGUGGAGGAGUAUACAUCUGUCGUAGAUUGAAGCUUUGUGAAGUUUUGCAUGUCAAGGAAAAUUUGUUCUGUAACAACUGCUGUCAUCUUAACCACCACCAAAAUGACCCAGAGGAAAACAUAUGUCGGAAUGCCGCAGAACCAAACCCCCAAAACCAACUUGUUCUGUAUGCUCAGAAUAGGAAUAGAGAUGUAAAUAGAAAUCCACCGAUGGUAGGCCAAGGUGUCGUCCAAAUUGCAAAGUAUAUUAAAAAACAGCACGUGUUCAAUGAACGCGGAAAUAUUAUCCGCAUAAACCACAACGUAUGCGAACUACACAUGCAGGACAAAGCUAAGCGAACGAAAACCAUAACUUCUCCAGCAAUAGAAGAAAUUGAAUAAAAAACACAUGAACUCCUAUUAGUUGUUAUUGGUAGUAUAACUACCCAACGUUUUGCAGCAAAAUGCUGCCUUCAUUAUUGUAUCACUAAUAAUUCGUUUCCGAUAAAGUACCAUGUCGUAAAGACAACAAACAUUCUAGAAAAAAACAUAAUUAUUAUUGUGGCAAAAACAUAUUAAUGCCUAUAUAUAGCUAUCAAUGUUGCUAUUAUUAGAAAAUUAGUUACAUAACUUAUAUUAUGCAAUUUUCGCAAUUGUAUUCAUUUUAUGACUAAAAUGUGGAUAUAACAAAAUGUUUAUUUUCUUUCACUGAUAUUAUUAUUGAAACAAUAUUGUAUUCUAUGAUCUUAGUUAGUUAGAUGUUAAUACACGCCGUAGCCGGGCCGUUAAGUGAUACUUGGCAACAUAAUUUAAAACGUGAAACAUAUAUUUCUGCUUUAAACAAUUUCAUGUACCGAUUUGUGAGCAGAAUAAAUCGUGUAUAAACCUCUUUAAUACAUACGUUUUUUUUCUUUAUUUUGUAAGUUUAAUGUCUUCUUUUAAAGUGUACAUGCAAUCUAAUUGUGCAUUCUUAUUCCUUCUGGCUUGACUACAUUGACUCAACUCACUCUCAAAUUAAAUCUAUUUUUUCAUGUUCCCAUCAACUUCAAUUGUUCACCUUGAAAAUUCCACAACACGUCUAUCCGAAUUUUUCUGUACGAACCACUGACAUUUGAAUGCAAAAACAAGCUAUGCACCUGUCAUUAUUUUGCCCGCCCGCACGGGGGCGGCGGGCUGACCCAGUGGAAUUUGACAUCUUGAAAUGUUUGAAGUCUAAAUCCCCACCCUAGAGACAAUCAUUUUUGUCUAAAUCCCCACCCUUGAGCCUGCUUGGUGCAUCAAGUUCCCCGGGGGUAGAGGAGAGGGUAUACAUCUAAAAGAUCAAUCAUAUGAAUCAGUUCUGUACGUUUAAAAUUUAAAUUAGGUGAGACAGUACCUUUAAUAUCGAGGUCAUUCUGACAAUGUCAGUAAACCACGUAAUCGCCAAUAAUAUAUCAUACAUGUUGGAUUGGUUCUCCUAUGUGUUAUCCUAACAAAGCGGGAAUCAAUGAAAUAGGAUUACCAAUUCUACUUUCAUUUUUUGAUGAAUGCUUAUUUUUAGAAGUUUUCUGCUGUAAUCGUUUAUAAUCUACAGGUAUAGUGAACGUUCUUUUGUGGAUUUAGUAUUAUUAUUACGACAUAUCGUGAGUUUCAUGUGACGCCUCUCAGACUCGCAAAAUAAAUGGGUCUAAUUCGCGAAAACAGAUGACAAACAUGAAAACCGCUCGGCCCCAUGCAUACUAUGUCCGGGUAUAGGUGAAAAUAAAUGGAGAAUACAAUCCCUGUUUACCUUUGAAUAUUGUUCCUAUUUCUGGGGCAAUCUUCUCGCCCCAUCCCACAAUUUUUUCGACAGAAAAAUUCGAUAGGUCAUCCAUCAUGCAUGCGCUGUCUGCUACUAGAAAAACACGUAUAAAAAUAUCGCCGUCGUCUUUCGACUUUUCGCGGUUACUCCCCUUUUUUAUUUUGUGGCGUCGAAAUUCCCGAUUUCCGGGAUGUAAAAACCGGCCAAAGUCUAUUUUCCGGGACCCGGAUUCAAUAAGUUUGUCAAAUUCCCGCCUUUCAGGAAUGGUGUUCUGUCUAAAGCCCCGUGUAUGCCCGCAGCCCCCCCCCCCCCCCCCCCCCCCCCGGGCGGGCAAAAUAAUGACAGGUGCACUACGCCACACAGUUCAAUUCAAUGAACAUGAACACGUAGGAAGUAGAACUACUGUUUGUACUCUUAAAUAAACCUAGCAUUAUUAAUUAACAUGUAUGUACAGUUUUUUUAAGUAAAUUCAAUUUUGCCACUUCCUUUGUUUUGUUUAUAGAAUGACAACGAUGAAUAAAGCCGUCCUAAUAGACCACACUGGUUAUCACACACUAGCAUAUUUUUCUAAACUGCAUUCGCGUUUGCCCGAUUUUAAUAAUUAAUCUGUUCAAGCAGAUCAAUAAAUUGUGAUUAUUUAGUUAAUACUCAACAGUCGCCAAAUUUGAUUUUAAGACAAAAAUCUAAUUUACGUUCGAACGUUGUACGGGUCCCAAAAUGAUAAUCGACAAUCGACCCGGGCCGCAAAAUAGAUAAUCGCCAUGUCGUGCAAAUAAUCGCGGAUUCCCUGCACAAAUGUGUUGCUAUAUUCAAUAACAUAUGUAUCAACAUAAUAUCAACAGUUAUUUCAUGACAAAGUACUUGGCUUUCCAUGUUGAUGUUGCAUUUUAAAGUAUCGUGCACUAAACAAAAUGUGAGAACCUGACUAUUGACAUCUUGACACUUAAUUCUAGCAGGGUGUUGACGUCGGGAAGAUCAUUUUAAACACCGAAGAGUGUUUAAUUUAGUUUGUGAUUAUUAUUAUUCUCAUAAAUGUAAACGCCUUUGCGUACUUUAAAGGAAUAGAAUUUUUUAUUUUUCAUAAAGUAAGUAGUAAAACAGAAGGAAGUGGCGUUUUGAUGCCUAACACUCCUCUUUCAUUGGGAUGGAAGAGCGUACUUAAGAUGCGAUGUUAAACGUAAAUUGUUUUUUCUCAUUUAUUUUUACAUAGAGUACCAAUAACACAUUCAUGGUCAUCUUUAAAUAAUGUUACAUUCUAUGCAUUUUCUAUCAGUAUGGCUAAGCUCGCACAUACGCGCACGCACGCACGCACGCACGCACCCACGCACGCACGAACGAACGCACGCACGCACGCACGCACGCACGCACGCACGCACACACACACACACACACGACAGUGAUGUCCCUUUCACUAAGAUAUUCGUACAAGAUAAGCUACAAUAGAGAUUUAAUAUUUGUUAUUUAAUUUAAAAAUAAUUUAAACAUUAAAACAAUCAAUCGAUAUGGCUAGUUGUGUCUUUUAAUGAUUGUAUGAUAGUUUCAGUAUUUCCAACUUUUGUUUGUUGGCUUCGUACUUAUCGUUUUUUUAACGCAAUAUGCUCUUCAAUUUUAAUUCUUAGUUUAAGAUGCAUCAAACAUGCAUUAAAGAAUAAAUGUCUAUUAUUACACAUGGUUGGGUUUAUAUAAAACUUCAUUGAAACAAUAAGAAAGUUGCAAAUAUUGCCGUAAUUGUUUUUACAUACUAUUGAUUGAGAUAUUAAUUGUUGUUGAGGCAAUUAUUUAAUUUGUUCCACAACUGUUGUGCACUCCCAAUAAAAAUGUUCAACACCUGAAUGGCAAAAGGAGCAUAAUCUACAAUCGACAAGUUUGAACUUAAAAUCUCAUGUAUUUUCUGGUAUUAUUCUCAAAAGGAACUUGUAAUAAAAACUACGUAAGGUGGUGUCUAUUGGUGUAUAUAUUUGUAUAUAUUACUAUAGAUCUGUUUCUAUUCGAUUUGUUCAUUUUCGUUUGCUAAAGCUUCUGUCCAUUUUUAUUCUGAAGUUGGUGUUAAAUUUGUUUGAAGUAAUAUUAAGUAAAGAAACUUGAUUGAUUGUACGACUUUUUUUUUAAUGAUGUGUUGUGAGUGUGGCUAAUUUCAUCUUUAGUCAGCCGUAUUCUCGUUUCCAUCGAGAUUGAUUUAGUAAGGGUUUGGUAUCUUAUGAAAUCGGGGCUUUGUAUGCCGUAUAAAUUUUCAAUUUGAAUAAAAUUGUAAAAUGUAUUGGUUUUAUAAUAAAAAAUGUGCUCAUAGUACUUUAUCCCUUUUUAUACCAUUUUUUUUUUAUAGAAUAUAGUGUUUCCUGUAUUACGAACAUUUGUUUCCAUAUCACUGUUUUGGCAAUUUUACCUUUAUAAGAGUCGUAUAUUUGUUUUAUUUUGUUCCAUGAUUCGAGAACAUUAUUCAAAAUGAGCCAUUUUCUUACACUUUACUUAUGAAAUACUUAUCCAUUUCACAAAUAUAAGAUUAUUUUCAUACAUUUCAACUUUUUGUGAAAAAAAAUAAUUUCCAUUGACUUUUAUUAGUGUCAUCCAGGUAUGUUUUAACCCAAACAGCUUUUAAAGAGUCAAGGAAAGCUGCACUAUUUGUAAGCUUAAGUCCACUCUUUUGAUAAUUUUGGUACAAAAUAUUUCUUUAUAUUUUUUCUGGCUUACUAUCCAACAGGGAUUUGAAAAUGGCUCUUACAUUUUUUUCAACAAUUUGUUUGCUUGGAUUAUAUAAUACUGUAAAUGGGUAUAUUAAUUUUGGUAGAGCAUACGUUUCCACAACUGUUACUUUACCCAUUAACGUUAACUUUCUAUGUUCCCACUGUUUCAGUGUUUUAUAAAAUUUAUCAAGCUUUGUGUUGGUAUUUUUGUCAAUAGUUAGUUGUUUAUUGUUGUUGAAGGUAAUACCUAAUGCUGUUGCACAAUCUGAUGUCCAUAUAAAUGGUUUAUAUAUGUUGUUGUUUUAAACGUACACAUCUCAGAAUUAUGGAUUUAUUUGUGUUCAGGAUUAGACCUGAACAUUUUGAAAACGAUUCUAAUAAUUUGAUCAAGGAUUCAAAAGAAUGUUCUGAACCAUCAUUAAAAUAAGUUGUAUCAUCAGCGAAAAGUGAUUGUUUAAUUUCCACAUUAUCUACAUUUAUUCCCUUUAUAUCAGGGUUUUGCUUGAUAUAGCUUGACAGUAUGUAGACAGAGGAUAAAGAAAGUGGACAGCCUUGUCGUACUCCUUUUUCAAUUGUGAAUGUUUCCGACAGAUGACCAUUAUCUAUAAUUAUACUUUGAAUAUCUCUAUAGAAUAGUUUAGUCCAUUGUACAAUAUCGGUGCCAAAGUUUAACGUUUUUAGACUAUCGAAUAUAAAAGAGUGAUCAAUACUAUCAAAAGCUUUUUGAAAGUCGGCAAAGAAUAAGAGCCCAAGCAUAUUAAUAUUUCAAGAUAUUGCAUAACCUCAGUAUUAAGUCGAACAUUUUCGCCAAUGUAUCUACCCUUGAUAAAACCCGUUUGCUCAGGGUCAAUAUUUUUGACAAAAUUUGUUUUAUUCUAUUUGAUAUUGCUUUUGUUGCUAUUUUGUAAUCAAUGUUAGUAAACGAAUAGGUCUCCAAUUUAAUAGGUUUACUAAAUCUUUGUCAGGUUUUAGAAUUAGGGAAAUUAUACCUUGCUUUUGGAGCGGUGUCAAAUGAAAGAAUUAAGACGUUAAUUAAAGCACUCUAUAACAUUUUAUAAAUUUCCGUAGUAAGACCAUCUGAGCCGGUACAUUUAUUAUUGUUCAUGUCUUUUAAAGCAUUUCAGCAUUAAUGUAUUGCAAGUUAUGUUAUCUUUUUUAGAGAGCAAAUAGCUUUCGUUCCUAAUUCCAUUUGAAAAUAUGAAAACAUGCCAUGAAAUCUUAAAAUUUAGGCGUCAGUAUUUGUAUAUUAAUUAGAAAAAAGUUAUUUUCUUAUCAUUUCUUUGUGAAUAUGUUAUUCAAAAAUUAUUAUAUAUGUAUGUUUGCAUAUCCUAUCAUUUCAAUGUCGUAUUGUGUAUAAUUCAUCAGUCUUAAGAAUUUAAUAAAACCAUCAAAGAAACAUGUGUUAUUUGCAUC